rnacentral:lncRNA from 1 species
GGUUAGAGUCUCGGUUCAGCAUCCAGGACAAUCCCGACUCCGACAUAAAAAUUUUGGUGAUGUUUUCUUCCUUUAAGAGAAAGUGGCAUGUACAUAGGAUUUAUAAUAGUUAUUUUGGCAUGUUAUAUAGUUUUGUUGUAAAGUAAGAUAUUAUGUGUUUUGAUGAGUAUAUUAGAAAAAUGGUAUAAGUUAUUUUUAUAGCAUUGGUAUCAAGUUGAAAUGGCUUAGUUAGUUUUAUGUGUUAAUUAGAAAUGAUAAUUGGAUUUUAUUUACUUAAGUUGUUAUGUCUAUAUGUCAAGUAGGAUUAAGUAUAUAAAUGCAUUGGUUGAAAUACUGAAAUUGGGUUGGUUAUGUUUGAAAUUUUGCAGGGGGUUUAAUGUAAAAAUAAGUCAAAAUGCUGCCGAAAUUUUUAUAAAUAAAAAAAAUAAAAAAAAUGAAUGAAAUCAAUUAGUACAAAUUUAUAACAAUUUAUGAAUUAUUUUAAUAUGUUGGUUAUUUAUUUCGAUUUAUUUAUAAAUUGUUUGAUAUGUCCGGUAAUGCCUCGUAACCCUAUUUCGACGACGGUUUGGGGUUAGGGGGUGUUACAAAAUUGCAUGAAUUUCCAUUUUUAUGAGCUAGGGACUAAAUUGUAAUGAAUUAAAAAUUAUAAGGGCAAAAGUGUAAUUUUUCCAAAAUAUGAUUUUUGGAUUAAAUUGAAUAGAAUGAAGUUUGAAUAAGUUAAAUUUGAUUAUAUAGAUCAAGAAAAGCAGCGUACGGAUUUAGAUCGGGGAAAAGAAAAAAUAUUGGAUUAAUCGAUCAUAUUAUGAAUGUUUGUUAUAGUAUGAAUGUUUGAACGAGAAGUAUAUAGAAGCCUUUGUUGUGUAAUGAAUUUGACUAAUUUUUGUGCUAAUUUCUAAUGUGAAUUGUUGUUGGUGCUUAGGCUUAUGCCAUGUUAUGUUGGAUAUGUUCAUAAAUUGCCUUUAAUCUUUUAUAAUGAAAAGGUAAGCAUUGUUUAUGAUUUACGAACUUAUUAAGCAUUUUAUGCUUACUUUGUGUGUUUUCUCUCAUAUUUUUAGAUAAUCGGAAGCUCGUUUGGGUUGGAAGCUUGGCGGAAAUCCAUCACACUAUCCAUCGGCUAAAUCGGUAGAUUUUGAUGAUUUUGAGUUAUGGUUAUAAUGGCAUGUAUAGGUAUCUUGUUUAAUGAAUUUAGCCGUUAUGUGUGUCUUGUAUAUGUGUUAUUUUGGUUGAUGAACUAGUUGGUAUGAUAUUAAGAUUAUAUGGUAUUUUGUGUGGUUGUUAAUUUGAUGUUUAUGUUGG